rnacentral:lncRNA from 1 species
AAUGUCUUAAUUGAAAGAAAAAAAAUAAACACUUUCAGGAAACGAGCCCCGCGCUGACAGGAAACAGGACUGUUCCAUGUGUUGGACAAACGUCCCUUCUGAAGAAAAGUGCUGGUCCUUCCACUACUGACACAUCUAUGCAGGCUGACUUAAACCAAUAGCUGAGCUUCUGGGGAAAAGUGGGGACACUGUCUUCCGAAGGCCCCUGCCACGUAAAGGAUUUUCUGCUGUGAGUGUGUGCUAUUCUUAUGACGGGGAAAAAACGAGCUUCGAAGGACCGUGCUUCUGUGUUGAAUGUGGCGUCUACACAGGCAUCUACUUUGAACAGCUCUGAGAAUAUGCUCCAGGGAGUGAAGUGAGGAAUAACACAACCAUCCUGGCGCUGGCCUCCCUGCUUCUACCCUUGACUCCCUCCAGCUGGUGCUCUGCACGGCAACCAGAGCUUGAAACAUCUCAUGAAGCGCUCGCAACAGAAAACAGAAAGAAAAAUGAUACAUGCAGGGAAGCAGAAACGUCAGACAAAGUGAGUUAUUAUAAAUGCGACUACAGUGGGCAGAGGAUGUGAGUCAAUAAUGGGAGGAAACUGCCAUGGCCGUCCUCCAUCUUGAAUAGCCCAGAUCCUGACUGGCCUGACCCCCGGGGCUUUCUCACAGCAUGGCUGGUGGCUACAUGUCUCAAAGAGGAUUAGGUGCCGCUGUCGGUAAAGCAAGACUCUAAAUCACAGUAGUUCAAGAAGACAGAACUUUGCUUCCUCGUGUAAAAGUUAGGGCAGGGCAGUCCAGAGCUGGUGUGGCUGUUGUGCUUCCUGCAGUCCUCAAGGGUCCAGGCUCCCUUCCUCUCACUGCUCCCCAAUCCCCAGGGUGCGACCUUCCAUCUAUGGUGUGAGAUGACUGGGAGUCUAGCCACCACAUGGGAAUUCUGGGCAGCAGAAGAGGCAAGGGGUGAAGAAGAAAACUGCACCACGGUAUGUGCCUGCUGUCUUUUGAA